rnacentral:rRNA from 1 species
ACCGGCGCACGGGUGCGGAACGCGUAUGGAACCUGCCCCUGUCAGGGGAAUAGCCCAGAGAAAUUUGGAUUAAUGCCCCAUGGUAUCGGAUUACCGCAUGGUAAUUUGAUUAAAGAUUUAUCGGACAGGGAUGGCCAUGCGUACCAUUAGCUAGUUGGUGAGGUAACGGCUCACCAAUGCAACGAUGGUUAGGGGCCCUGAGAGGGGGAUCCCCCACACUGGUACUGAGACACGGACCAGACUCCUACGGGAGGCAGCAGUGAGGAAUAUUGGACAAUGGCCGGAAGGUUGAUCCAGCCAUGCCGCGUGCAGGAUGACGGCCCUAUGGGUUGUAAACUGCUUUUACACGGGAAGAAACCUCCCCUCGUGAGGGGAGCUGACGGUACCGUGAGAAUAAGGACCGGCUAACUCCGUGCCAGCAGCCGCGGUAAUACGGAGGGUCCGAGCGUUAUCCGGAAUCAUUGGGUUUAAAGGGUCCGUAGGCGGGCCUGUAAGUCAGGGGUGAAAGGCCACGGCUCAACCGUGGGACUGCCCUUGAUACUGCAGGUCUUGAGUUAUAGUGGGGUUGCCGGAACAUGUGGUGUAGCGGUGAAAUGCAUAGAUAUCACAUAGAACACCGAUCGCGAAGGCAGGUGACCCACUAUAUACUGA